GGCCAUAGUUCAGUGGCAGAGCCCCUGCUUGGCAUGCAGAAGGCCCUGGGCUCAAUCCCCUGGCAGCAUCU